AUUGAACGCUGGCGGCAGGCCUAACACAUGCAAGUCGAGCGGAUGAAGAGAGCUUGCUCUCUGAUUUAGCGGCGGACGGGUGAGUAAUGCCUAGGAAUCUGCCUGGUAGUGGGGGAUAACGUCCGGAAACGGGCGCUAAUACCGCAUACGUCCUACGGGAGAAAGCAGGGGACCUUCGGGCCUUGCGCUAUCAGAUGAGCCUAGGUCGGAUUAGCUAGUUGGUGAGGUAAUGGCUCACCAAGGCUACGAUCCGUAACUGGGCUGAGAGGAUGAUCAGUCACACUGGAACUGAGAUACGGUCCAGACUCCUACGGGAGGCAGCAGUGGGGAAUAUUGGACAAUGGGCGAAAGCCUGAUCCAGCCAUGCCGCGUGUGUGAAGAAGGUCUUCGGAUUGUAAAGCACUUUAAGUUGGGAGGAAGGGCAGUAAGUUAAUACCUUGCUGUUUUGACGUUACCGACAGAAUAAGCACCGGCUAACUUCGUGCCAGCAGCCGCAGUAAGAC
rnacentral:rRNA from 1 species